rnacentral:rRNA from 1 species
AUACGGAGGAUCCGAGCGUUAUCCGGAUUUAUUGGGUUUAAAGGGAGCGUAGGCGGAGGAUCAAGUCAGCUGUGAAAUGUAGACGCUCAACGUCUGCACUGCAGUUGAAACUGGUCCCCUUGAGUGCGUAAGGGGCAGGCGGAAUUCGUCGUGUAGCGGUGAAAUGCUUAGAUAUGACGAAGAACUCCGAUCGCGAAGGCAGCGUGCCGGGCCGCAACUGACGCUGAAGCUCGAAGGUGCGGGUAUCGAACAGGAUUAGAUACCCUGGUAGUCCGCACAGUAAACGAUGAAUACUCGCUGUUUGCGAUACACUGUAAGCGGCCAAGCGAAAGCGUUAAGUAUUCCACCUGGGGAGUACGCCGGCAACGGUGAAACUCAAAUGAAUUGACGGGG